UAUCAGCCCCACCAACCGCCCCAUAUCACCCCAUAGACCGCAGAACCGCCCCAUAACCCCGUAUCUGCCCCAAAACCAUCCCAUAGACCCUAUAUCCGCCCCAUAACCCCAUAUCUGCCCCAUAACCACCCCAUAGACACCAUAUCUACCCCAUAACCCCAUAUCUUCCCCAUAACCACCCCACAGGCCCCAUUAUCACCCCACAGCCCCAUAACAAACCCAUAGACCCUAUAUCUGCCCCAUAAUCCCAUAUCUGCCCCAUUGCCACCCCACAGACCCCAUAGCCACCCCAGAGACCCCAUACCCAUAGACCCCAUAGCCACCCCACAGACCCCAUAGUGACCCUAUAACCCCCCCACAGACCCCAUAGCCACCCCAUAGCCACCCCACAGACCCCAUAGCCACAGACCCCACAGCCACCCCACAUACCCCAUACGCACAGACUCCAUACCCACAGACCCCAUAGCCACCCCACAGACCCCGUAUCUGCCCCAUAGCCACCCCACAGACCCCGUAACUGCCCCAUACUCACCCCACAGACCCCAUAUCUGCCCCAUACUCACCCCACAGACCCCAUAUCUGUCCCAUAGCCACCCCACAGACCCCAUACCCACAGACCCCAUAUCUGCCCCAAGUCCACCUCACAGACCCCAUAACUGCCCCAUGCCCACCCCACAGACCCUGUAUCUGCCCCAUAGCCACAGACCCCAUAGCCACGCCACAGACCCCAUAGCGACCCUAUAGCCACCCCACAGACCCCAUACCCACAGACCCCAGAGCCAUCCUACAGACCCCAUAUCUGCCCCAUACCCACCUCACAGACCCCAUAACUGCCCCAUACUCACCCCACAGACCCCAUAUCUGCCCCAUAGCCACCCCACAGACCCCAUAACUUCCCCAUGUCCACCCCACAGACCCCGUAUCUGCCCCAUACCCACCUCACAGACCCCAUAACUGCCCCAUACUCACCUCACAGACCCCAUAUCUGCCCCACAGCCACCCCACAGACCCCAUACCCACAGACCCCAUAUCUGCCCCACAGCCACCCCACAGACCCCAUACCCACAGACCCCAUAGCCACCCCACAGACCCCACAGCGACCCCAUAGCCACCCCACAGACCCCAUAUCUGCCCCAUAGCCACCCCACAGACCCCAUACCCAUAGAACCCAUAGACCCCACAGCCACCCCACAGACCCCACAGCCAUCCCACAGACCCCAUAGCCACCCCACAGACCCCAUAGCGACCCCAUACCCACCCCGCAGACCCCAUAUCUGCCCCAUAUCCACCCCACAGACCCCAUAUCUGCCCCAUAGCCACCCCACAGACCCCAUAGCCACAGACCCCAUAUCUGCCCCAUAGCCACCCCACAGACCCCAUACCCACAGACCCCAUAGCCACAGACCCCAUAGCGACCCCAUAGCCACCCCACAGACCCCAUACCCACAGACCCCAUAGCCACAGACCCCAUAGCGACCCCACAGACCCCAUAUCUGCCCCAUAGCCACCCCACAUACCCCAUAGCCACAGACCCCAUAUCCACCCCACAGACCCCAUAGCGACCCCAUAGCCCCCCCAAAGCCCCCGCCCCGCCCC
rnacentral:lncRNA from 1 species